rnacentral:tRNA from 1 species
GUGGGGUUGUGGCUCAGUGGUAGAGCACUUGCCUAGCAUGUGUGAGGACCUGGGUUCAAUCUUCAGCACCACA